GUUAAAUUUGAUUACUACAUGAAAAAGGGCUUCAAAUGACUUGAAGAACCAGGUAAAAUUCAAAAGCAAGAAGCACAUAUAUUAUCAAAUUAAAGAACCAGGUAAAAUUCAUUAAAUUAAAUAGCUUCAUUAUUCAAAAAAUGAAAGAAAGCAAAAGUAAAGAGAGAGGCCAGCUACUGGGACCCAAUCACUCAAAACACAAGAUCUUGAAUAGCUUUGCCUAAAUGACUUCUCUCCAAGGAGUUUUCUCAGGUCUAGAAUCACAGCAUUGACAUUCAAAAUAU
rnacentral:misc_RNA from 1 species